UGGGGAAUAUUGGACAAUGGGCGAAAGCCUGAUCCAGCCAUGCCGCGUGUGUGAAGAAGGUCUUCGGAUUGUAAAGCACUUUAAGUUGGGAGGAAGGGCAGUAAGCGAAUACCUUGCUGUUUUGACGUUACCGACAGAAUAAGCACCGGCUAACUCUGUGCCAGCAGCCGCGGUAAUACAGAGGGUGCAAGCGUUAAUCGGAAUUACUGGGCGUAAAGCGCGCGUAGGUGGUUCGUUAAGUUGAAUGUGAAAGCCCCGGGCUCAACCUGGGAACUGCAUCCAAGACUGGCCAGCUAGAGUAGGACAGAGGGUGGUGGAAUUUCCUGUGUAGCGGUGAAAAGCGUAGAUAUAGGAAGGAGCACCAGUGGCGAAGACGAACACCUGGGCUCAUACUGACACUGAGGUGCGAAAGCGUGGGGAGCAAACAGG
rnacentral:rRNA from 1 species